CACGUAGGGUGCGAGCGUUGUCCGGAAUUAUUGGGCGUAAAGAGCUCGUAGGCGGUUCGUUAUGUCGGAUGUGAAAGCCCUUGGCUCAACUGAGGAAGUGCAUCCGAAACUGGCAAGCUAGAGUAUGUAAGAGGGUCGCGGAAUUCCCGGUGUAGAGGUGAAAUUCGUAGAUAUCGGGAGGAACACCGGUGGCGAAGGCGGCGACCUGGGACAAUACUGACGCUGAGGUGCGAAAGCGUG
rnacentral:rRNA from 1 species